CCCCGCCCCCGGCGUUCCCCGAGCCGCCGGGGCCUGCGCCCAGAAGAUUAGAAGGGCGUGGAGUGGGGGGAGUCGAGGGUCGCUCUCUGAGCCCAGUGGGGUUCCUCCUGCGGAGAGUCAUCUGUUUGUCAAACAUUUACUGACCGUCCGCUGAUUGCGAGAAACGCGGGCGAGUCAAAAUUUCACCUACCCUUUGAGUGCCUACUAAGGACCUGGGCCUGUGGGCGCCGCCACACGUGGGCGGUGGAGGGCCCAGCCCUCGGUGCCUGCCCUGGGUGCCAACCAAGGACGUUCCUUGAGUUCCUCAGACACUUCCUCGGGGUCGCACCAACCCCCUACCCCCUUCUCUCCACUUCCAGGGCCCAACCCGGAGGAGGAGUCACCGCCUGGAGACCCCAGCUAAGGCCAUGCCUGGGAAUGCUAGGACCCAAUCCGGCUUUGAUUACACCCCCAGCACCCACAGGCCUGCCCGUCCGUUGGUCCAUCCCUCCCUCGCUCCCUCACCACGAACCUGCUCCAGGUCCAGUGUGCCGGGCAGAGGCAGUUUAGGGACCCAGGCUCUGGUCUGGGGGGAGCCGGAGCACUCUGGGCCGGCUGUGAAGACCUGAAGCCCACAGCUUGCAAAGGACCAAGACAACAAGAGAGGAAGGCUGGGUGUGAAAACGUCCCUCCCGACACGCCCCAGCUCCUGUGGGCGGCCCUGCUUGCUGGUGGAGCCCCCAAACCGGCGCCCAGGUUGGCUUAGCCAGCUCCGCACGUCUUGGCUCAAGCCCUCGCCCUCCGCCGCCGGUACAUACAAAGCCCCCUUUCAGUGGCAGGGCUUCUGUUGGGCGGCGGAGGCUGCUCAGGAGGUUUGGUUAACCACGUUAAGAAAACAAACAGCCCUGGGCCAUGGGCGGGCCGGCGGGCGCCGCUGCGCACAAAGGCGUGAUUCUUCUCUCCCAGGCUGGCUGGGGGGCGACAGGGGCCCGCCACCUGGGGCUCCACCUGUGUAACCCGUGGGCAGCCCCUCGAGCCUCAGUGUCCAGAUCUGUAGAAUGGAGAGUUGUCGCGUGGAUUACACGAAGCCACGCUGGCAGAGUUCAGCACGGAGCCUAGAACACAGUUAAGUCAAUAUUAGCUAUUAUUGUUUCAGUGAAUUAUACAAACUGGCUUUUUGUAAAUCAAGAUUGAUGGGGUGGCCUAUUGGCAAUUACAUAUGGGCCACCCUAAUAUAGUUAGUGAUUUCUGCCUUGAAACAAAUUCUACCACUCUUUCAGUAUCCUGAAAUUGCAAGGCUAGCUAAAAACUAUUUCAGCUACUAACUGGGAUCUGGGUUUUCCCUGAUUUUCUCAAUACUGGCAACCAGUGGAAAAAGAAAAAAAAAAAAGCAAAGAAAUAAAUUGGAAGCAGCGGUUGAUGCAAAUCAACUAUCCUGUUCAUCAAAACAGCCUUAGUUCUUACUGAUUGCCUUUUUUAAUAAGUACAUUUUAUAAAUUUGAAAUAAACUUGAAAUAAUAAGUUUACAGUAAACCAAAAAAUCCUGUUGCUGCCGAGUCCAUUCGGUCUCACAGUGACCCUAUAGUAUAGUACACUCACAGUCCCCCCGCCCCAUCCACGGUUUCCCUUUCCCAGGCUUCAGUUACAGCAGUCAACCAUGGUCUGGGCUCAGCUGUACUGAACAUAUACAGACUUUUUUGUCAUCAUUAUUCCCUAAGCAACACAGUAUAACAACUAUUUACAUAGCAUUUACAUUGUAUUGGGUAUUAUAAGUAAUCUAGAGAUGAUUUAAAGUAUAGGGAAGAUGUGUAGGUUAUAUGCAAAUGCUACGCCAUUUUAUACAAGCGACUUGACCAUCCUCGAAUUUUGGUAUCUCUAGGGGUCCUGGAACCAAUUCCCCGAGGAUACAAAGGGAUGAUUGUAUACUAGUAUUUUGUUUUCAUUGGAUUUCAGUGUAAGAUGUUGUCUAAAAAAACAGUUCUACUAAAACCUUUUAAAUUCAUAAAAUAAUCUAAACCCUUCAUUUUAUAGAUGAGGAAACUGAGAUGUGAAGAAGGGAAGUGGGUUCUUGAAGGCACCUCAGCCGAGCGUGUCCUGCCUGAGCUCUGAGAGCAAAGCUUGGCUCAGGGCAGGCUGGCGACCUGCUUCCCAGGGGGAAGGCAGGCUCUAGACCCAGGGUUCCAGCCAACAGUGUCACUCCUAGGGCCCUAGGGGCCACCUGCCCCAUGCCCAGAUAUGAGAGGCAGUUCGCCUGCUUCAGAUAACACAACCCAGGGCUGGCUAACGGGAGCAGGCAGAGGUCACCCCAGCCACCUUGCAUCCAAGGCAGCACAACUUUCCAGGGAGAUUUUUCUGGUAAUAACAAUGUGCCCAGCACUAGGUUCAAGGAACACUCAGGUACUGUCAGGUAACAGGGGUUUAUUAUGAAGAGAGCUGUGGGACCAAGAACUAGGACAACAGGAAAGCCAGGCCAGAGGCCAGGAGGGGCCACAGCUCCAGGCCUUGAGCUCAGGACUGGAGGUGCCCCCUACUCACAGUCUAAUCCUGGUUGCUGUUUGUGGCUUCUCUCUCGGUAAGCAGAGAUUUUGGUCUCUGUCAUUAAUGGUCUCCAGCUACUCACUGAAGCUGCUUCUGUCUCUCAGCUACUGCUCCUACUAUCCAACUGGGCAACCCAUCAUGUAUGUCUGAGGAGAGAGUACCUCACAGGUGUCAGAGGAACUCAAAUGCCUACAAGGUCAGGUGGCUAAUAAAAUGGGACUUGUCCUUAACAGGCCUACUACAUGGAUUUUGGUAUUUAAGAAAACAACUUAGUGGGUUAGUGUCUAGGUUCCUCUUGCCCCCCUUGUCUGGCUUGUGUGGGAUAUAGUGGGGCAGACAAACUGAGUCAAGCAGACUGGGUUCAGGUUUAACCCUGGGGUGGGACUUUGGGAAAGCUGCCUGAGCUCUCUGAGCCUCGAUCUUUUUAGGUGGAAAAUAAUACCCACCUGGCAGGGCCAUGGUGAUGGGGUUGGUCGUGGUGGUGGCGGCUGCUGAGUUGAUGCAGACUCAUGGUGACCCUGUGUGUGCAGAGCAGAACUACUCUAUAGGGUUUACAAGCCUGUGAUCUUUUGGGAGAUCGCCAGGCUGCCUUCCGAGGUACCUCUGGUUGGGUUUGAGCCACAAACUUUUCUGUUAGCAGUCAAGCACUUAACCAUUUGCACCAUCCAGGGACCUUGGUGAUGGGGUACCUGUACUUGUUGAUUCUGACUUACAGCAACCCUAUGGGAUAGAGUAGAACUGCCCCAUAGGGUUUCUAAGGCUGUAAAUCUGUACAGAAGCAAACUGCCACAUCUUUCUCCUGUGGAACAGCUGGCGGGUUCCAACGGCCAACCUCUCAAUUUGCAGCCAAGAACUUCACCACUGCACCACCAGGACUCCUCGGUGAUGGGAUAGUCCUGAGCACAGUGGCUGGCUCAGAGUAGGUGUUUAGCAAAUGGCAACUCUUCUAGUUAAUAACAUUUUUAGGCCCUGGGGUAGGAGGGGGCUGUUGGGGACAGCACCUGUUCUUGGCCGCCAGGUGCCUCGUUUUUCCUGGUAAGGCUGCCAGUGCUCCUGAGGGAGAGCUGCUGGUUUGGCCCCUGUGGUUAUGGCUGCUGCUGCUCAUAGUGGAAGAGGAAACGGAGAGCUCAGGAGCUGGAGGGGCAGUCAUUUGGAAACAACUGUCACGUCUCUUUAGGGAAGAGACUGGACAGGGUUUUUCAGAUUGGACAGGGUUUUUCUGGACCCAGACAAAGUGCAUCCUAUGGAGACCAAGUAGCCAACUUCCUCUCAGCAGCUGGCUUCCUGCAUCCUUGGUGAGGGGGCUUUCUUUCUGUCCCAGAGGUCUGGGGUCUCAGCCAGGGGCAUUUCCACAGUAGGCAAGGGUCAAAGGGGAGGAGGCCCAUCUGGGUCUAUCACCUGGCAGCCUGCAGGCCCGACCUGGGGCAACGAACACUAAUUCUGCCCCUACAGCAAGGCCCAAUGAACCCCAAAUUAGCUCAGAUUUAUGAAUGUCUUGGGGGAAAAAAAAACAAACCAAGAUCUGGCCCUCAGUGGGCUCACAGGCUCAAGGGGCAAUAAUCAGCUGGAGCUGAGGAGCAACCCGUCCCCUUAGGCCACCUUUGGGGGUGGGGAAAGAUACCAAGAGGAGCAGGAACAGCUGGUCCCUGACCUUAAGGAGCUCAGCAUCCACGAGGUUAAUGAGGUCACCUAAGAGACAACAGUACAGGAGGAUGAGAAAGACCAGAGAUUGAAGAGGAAGACAGGAUGGUGCCACUCGGAAGAGGUGGGAAAGAGGCAGGGCUCAUGUUCCAGGCUGGAGCUGGGCUGGGGAGUGGAUCAGAGAAAGCUUCCUGGAGGAUUUACAUAUAAGUAGGCCUUAAAAGAUGCACUGAAAAUAGCUUUAUUUAAAAUUUCUGAUUAUAAAUACAUAGAAAUUUCAAGCAAUAUAAGAUGGCAUAAAAAAUUAAAAAUAAUGCAAAAUUCCAUCCCUAGAGGCAAUCACAGUUCACAAUUCAAAUCCACAUCCUUCCCAUGUAUAAUUUUAAAUAAAUGUGAAUCAUACCAUAAUGCAAUUCUAUAACCUGCUUUUUUUACUCAAAAAUACAUAAUAGAGUGAUUUCCUUGUCAGUGAAUAUAGCUAUGUAUCAUCUUCAUUGGCUGUAUAAUAUCCAAUUGUAUGGCUGUACCAUAAUUCACUUAAUCCCUUUUUUUGAUGGACAUUUAGAUUGAUUCCAGUUUUUGUAACUGUAGAUAAUACUGUGAUGCACAUCUUUGGAUAGCCAUCCUCAUCGAUUUCAUUUCCAGAAGCAUUGUCUAUGGGGAUCCUCAGGGAAAGAUCUGAUACUGGUAAAUGUCCUCUCUAUGUCCUUACACUUACACGCCCAUCCACGAUGUUGAAGAAUAAAACAAAACCCACUGCAGCCGAGUCAAUUCUGACUCACCAUGACCCUAUAGGAUAGAAGAGAACUACCCCAUGGGGUUUCCAAGGCUGUAAUCUUUAUGGAAUUAGACUGCCACAUCUUUCUCCAGUGGACUGUGGCUGGUGUAUUCAAACCAUUGACCUUUCGGUUAGCAGCUGAGCAUUUAGCCACAGCGCCACCAGGGUUCCUCUCAAUGCCUGUUUCAGACAGGUAUAAUUCUGAGACUGAAGACAGGGACAGGGGCUGAGAAUGAAUGCUGCAGGUACAACACCCAGCAUUCACAAAGGCUUCAAAGGCUACACAGAAGUGAGAAGGUUAAGAGCAUAUUUGGAAUCAGUUUCCAUUUGGUGUUGGCCAUUGUUUUGAAGGAAUGGGAGACAAAUGAGGGAAGGUAAGUUGGGGUCUUACCUUCCCAGAGGACUAUGAAUGCCAGGUGGCAGUGUCUGCCAGUGGAGAACAAUCAUUCAACGGUUAUCUAUUUGGCACCUGUUUUGAGCCCAAGUUCCUGCUGGGGGCCAUGGAGUGAUAAAGACAUACACCUCAGAGAGCUUACAGUUUGGUGGAGAGAGCCAACAUAAAACCACACAACCGGUAUCACAAGACAUUGGCAGGUGAUGUACGCACCGUUCUCGGGGUCCAGAAGAUGGAGCUAAGCUGUUCUCAUCCAUUUCUAACACUCAGCUUACGUCUGACCUUGCCCAAACCUGGAGCAAAGAAUCCUAGCCGGUGUCUCCAAAGACAGAGCAUACAGUUCAGGUGCAUGCCAACUGCAGCAAAGGUGUUUCCUUCUCUGCCCCAGGACGGUUCACAAUUAUCUCCUCCCUUCCCUUCCCUUCCUUUCACCCUAGGCUGGUGAGUACUGGUGGGAAAAAUCCUUGGGGCUUGAUGCCCCUUGAAGCUCAGGGUCUUCAACCUCAUGUGGGCCCUAAGCAUGCUCAGCAAAGGACACUCCUUCCAUCACCGUCCUCUCUCCCCUCAAUCCAGACACUGGCUGCAGCCUUAGCAGAUAUGUCAUCUUCUCACCCUUUUUAAAAUUUGAGUUUCUGCAAAGGCAUUCUUUAUUUUCUUUAGGGUUCCCUGCUGUAGGUAACAUUUAGAAUAAAAAUCUUCUGGAAAGAGUUCAGAAGUUAUAAAUAUCUAUGUGUAAGUGAUCCUUCUACUCCUCUCACUUAUGAUUUCACCAAAUACUUAUAAUGAAUACUAGGGUUCCUCCAGCUCACCUUUGGCUCUGGUCUGCAUCGUUAGGGCUCUGGAGCCCAGAGAGAUUCUUGGGGAGAUAACCCAAGGGGAAAUGUAGACCUGUCUGUCUCAACAUCUCUAAUCCACUAGACUCCAAAUACACAGAUAAAAUAUCUCUGACAACAUCUUAAUUGUCAAGCAUGAAACCUUAGCUUUUCUGCCUUCCUUCCACCUAUAUAUUUCUUUCCCGCAGCCUCACAGUGAGGCUUCCUCUGAUCACAGUAACUCCCUCCUCCUGGGUUCUGGACUGCAUUUUCUCCAGGGCUUCCAGCUGUUUCCUUUGGACCCAACCCCUGCAGAAGAAACUGGUUUGAAGGGUAGAUUUUCUCCAAGAUCAGCUUCUGAUGGUUAUUUCCUUCCUCUCCCCUUAAUCUUAUUAACACACUCAAGUCAGCCCAACCUAAACUACAACAAAGCCCCCUUUUACUCUGUGUCUCCCCAACCUCUAGCCACUGCCUCCUCUUCCCAUUCAGAGGAGCCUCUUAAACAACAUGGUCAACACUCACUGUCCCUACUGCUUUCCCUCCCAGCUGCUCCAAAACCAUUUUGCCUCCUGUGUUUCACCUGUGUUGUGAAGGACUUCUCUGUCUACCCCAACAUCCAGGUCAGAUUCCUGGUGUCAUGCAUGCCCCCUCCCCUCAGGCCUCUCAUCAAAUCAAUGACUAGACCCCAGUGGUCCCAUCUCCACCUCCCAAGCCUCUUCCUGCAGCCCCAACCCAUUACUACUGCCCUCCCCAGCUCUCUGGGUGGCUGUGAUGAGCCUGGCUACUCUUCCCAUACACACGCAGCAACUAGAACUCCAGAAGCUUAACAAUAAAAUAUCAGAAAUAGAUAACUGAAUGGAAGGACAGAGAAGUAGAAUUGAAUCAAUGGGAGAAAGGAUCGGGAAAACAGAGGACAAAUCCCUUGAUACUAAUUUAUUUGAGGAACAACCAGAAAAAAGAAUAAAGGAAAAAUGAAGAAAGUCUAAGAGUUACGUGGAACGCCAUCAAGAGAAACAAUCUAUGCAUGACUGGAAUUCCAGAAUAGGAGGAGACAAGAAAAAGCAUGGAGAGAAUUUUCAAAGAAUUUCUGGCAGAAGACUUCCCUGAUAUCAUGAAAGAUAAGAAGUCUUCCACCCAAGAAACUCAGCAAACCCCCAUACAGGAUAGACCCCAAAAGAAAGUCACGAAGACAUAUCAUAAUCAAACUUUUCAAAACCAAAUACUAACAAAGAAAUCUUGAGAGCAUUCCAUGAAAAGCAAAAUAUCACAUACAAAGGGACACCAAUAAGACUAAGCUCUGACUUUUCUGCAGAAAUCAUGCAGGCAAGGAGACAAUAGGAUGACAUAUAUAAAACCCCAAAAGAAAAGAACUGCCAACCAAGAAUCAUAUAUCCAGCAAAACUGUCUCUCAAAUAUGAUGGCAAAAUGAGGAUAUUCCCAGAUAAACAGAAGUUAAGGGAACUUGUAAAAGCCAGACCAAACUUACAAGAAAUACUAAAGGGAGUCCUUUAGACAGAGAACAAACAACAUCAGAUAACAACCUGGGACCAAGACACAAGAUAACAUCACCCAGAAACCAGCCCAGACAAAGAACUCUCAAAAUUAAAAUAAAGCUACAAUGCUGAAAACAAGGAACUGGAGCUGUCAAUCUGAAAUCAACAAAUGGUGUAGUUAUAGAACUUCCAUAUGGAGAGGAAGUCAAGGCAGUAUUAAAAAAAACUCUUUUAAACAUAGGAUGAUAAAGGUAAACCUCACAGUAAUCACAAAGAAAAUGAACAAACCUACCCACCAAAGUAAACAAAAAGAAAAGCAAAAAGAUCCAGUAAACACAAGAUCAACAAAAAUGAAGGAAAUGAAAAGACAAUGUAUGAACAAAAAGAACUCAACACAGAAAAUUAAGCAGAACAAAGAAACCGUCAACACCACACAAAAAAAAGCAUAACAAAAUGGCAGCAAUAAAUUCAUAUUUAUCGAUAAUCACACUUAAUGUAAACAGUUUAAACACAGCAGUCAAGGGACAGAGUGGCAGGAUGGAUUAAAAAAAAAAAAAAUGACCUACCAAUAUGUUGCCUACAAGAGACAAAC